CAGAAUAUAAUUUAAUUAGAAUAUUGGCUUUGGGGGUCAGUAGUAGAGGUUCAAUUCCUUUUGUCUUGA
rnacentral:tRNA from 1 species